rnacentral:misc_RNA from 1 species
AAAGGACAGGCAGGUCAGAACAUGGCUUGUUUCUAUUGUAAAACUUUAAACGGGAAAUAUGUUUGUGCUAUUUUAUACUUUUUUGAUGACUAGCUUUCUUGUUGAAUAGGCUGGUUUUAUCAGUUAUAUUGUUAUAAUAAUUUAUUGUGAUAAGGUUUUGAAUAGAUUGCAUUUUCCAUUUGAUUAUAUGUGUCUUCAGCUAAAAAGAUGGUUAAUAUUAUUAACACGUUGUGUUAGUUGAGAAAUAUGCAUGAAGCACCUCUGAAAAUUCUGACUCACGCUUAGAAUGACCUUAAAAAUAGAAUUAAAUGUUUUGAUCUCUUCACAUCUUCCCAAUACAUGAUGUUCAGCAUUAAAUCAUCAAUCACAGUGUGUUUGCAUAGUUCUAGUAAACAACUCAUAAUUAGCUCUUUCUAUAUAGGUCUUUAGUGUCUAUUAUGUAUUUAUCCACAGUAUAUGUAUCUUAAAAUUUUUUGCUGUUAUGGAGGCAGGCCAACUGUAUUUUUCUAUUUUCUGUAUAUGUUCUUCCCUUGGAACUCCUUUGUGCAUAUGAAACAAUGGAUAUUAUUUAGGAUCAUUGCAUGAUUAUCAGAAUAUGUGGAUUAUCAUCUACAGUUAGGUAAUUGUAUGCUUGGCCCUAAGACUGAUUAUCAUGCUUUCUACUUUCAACUAAACUGAAGCUGGAAUUGAUAUUAUAUUUUUAUUUGUUUCAGU